GACUACAGGGGUAUCUAAUCCCGUUUGCUCCCCACGCUUUCGCACAUGAGCGUCAGGCUAAUGCCAGAAUGCCGCUUUCGCCUCAGAUGUUCCCCCCGAUAUCUACAUAUUCCACCAUUACACCGGGGAUUCCGCAUUCCUCUCAUCGCCUCAAGUCAAACAGUAUCCAACGACGUCUUCUGGUUAAGCCAGAAGGUUUCACAUCAGACUUAUCUGACCGCCUGCGUGCGCUUUACGCCCAGUAAUUCCGGAUAACGCUUGUCACCUACGUAUUACCGCGGCUGCUGGCACGUAGUUAGCCGUGACUUAUUCUUGGGGUACCAUCCAUUCUUUUCCCCCACAAAAGGAGUUUACAACCCUAAAGCCUUCAUCCUCCACGCGGCGUUGCUGGGUCAGGCUUUCGCCCAUUGCCCAAUAUUCCUCACUGCAGCCCCCCGUAGG
rnacentral:rRNA from 1 species